rnacentral:sRNA from 1 species
GGAGGCGGUAGCUUUUUCGGCGUCGAGACUGGCGACUGAGUGCUAAACUGUGUGGGGCGCGAAUGGGAUCCAGCUGUUAGUCGGUGUUUUGAAAUUUGUGAUGGAAAAUUAAAAUGGAAGGAAAAUAAGUAUAUAGAAGAUGAGAAUAAUGAAAGGGAAAAAGAGUGAGGAAAAGUAUUACAGCGUGAAAUAAAUUCCCAGUAUUUUUCAAGAUUAUGUAAAAGGAGUUGUAAUUACUGCUCAGCACCUAGGACAGCACCCAGUGCAACACAGUGUACAUGAACUCUGGCUUGAGGUUUGGGGCUUGUGUUCUGCAUUCAGGAAAGAAAAGAAGAGAAAGUUUUUGGGAAAUUUAAAUCCUCGUAAGCCCUUACUCUAAAAGUAUAUGAAAUGCAGAAUGGUUUCAUGGCUUUAUUUCAAAAUGUUUUACACUGGCUGUAGAACCCACUUCAUGAAGUAGUUUGAGUUAAAAUGAUCUAAUAUUUGUGUUUUAACUUUCAGCUUUGUGUUAUUCUUGGAAAAUUUCGCACCACUUGUGAAUUCCUUGAACCUGGGCAUUGCAAACCCACUUCUGUUGGGCCCAUCUC